UUUAUAAUCUCGGCACCUUCGGUGUCCGAGUUGUAAUCUAUAGAAAUGUUUUCCGCGUUGGACCGCACACAAGUCUGUUGGAAUACAGCGGCAUAGUGGUGAGACCCCCGUAUAUGGUGCGGACGCCCAGCGCUUUGUGAUACAUUUUCAAAGAGUCGAGUUGUUUGGGAAUGCAGCUCAAAUUGGGUGGUAAAUUCCAUCUAAAGCUAAAUAUUGGCGAGAGACCGAUAGCGAACAAGUACCGUGAGGGAAAGAUGAAAAGCACUUUGGAAAGAGAGUUAACAGUACGUGAAAUUGUUGGAAGGGAAACGCUUGAAGUCAGACUUGCUUGCCGAGCAAUCGGUUUGCAGGCCAGCAUCAGUUUUCCGGGAUGGAUAAUGGUAGAGAGAAGGUAGCAGUUUCGGCUGUGUUAUAGCUCUCUGCUGGAUACAUCUUGGGGGACUGAGGAACGCAGUGUGCCUUUGGCGGGGGUUUCGACCUCUUCACACUUAGGAUGCUGGUGGAAUGGCUUUAAACGACCCCUCUUGAAACACG
rnacentral:rRNA from 1 species